rnacentral:rRNA from 1 species
UACGGAGGGGGCAAGCGUUGUCCGGAAUCAUUGGGCGUAAAGAGCGUGUAGGCGGUCCGGUAAGUCGGCUGUGAAAGUCCAAGGCUCAACCUUGGGAUGCCGGUCGAUACUGCCGGACUAGAGUUCGGAAGAGGCGAGUGGAAUUCCCGGUGUAGCGGUGAAAUGCGCAGAUAUCGGGAGGAACACCUAUGGCGAAGGCAGCUCGCUGGGACGUUACUGACGCUGAGACGCGAAAGCGUGGGGAGCAAACAGG